rnacentral:rRNA from 1 species
GACGAACGCUUGCGACGUGCCUAAGAAAUGCAAGUCGAACGAGGUAGCAAUACCUAGUGGCGAACGGUCGCGUAACACGUGGGCAACCUGCCCCAGAGCGGGGGACAACAAUCCGAAAGGGUUGCUAAUACCGCAUGUGAAUGGAGAUGGCAUCAUCUCCUAUUCAAAGCCUUGUGCACUCUGGGGUGGGCCCGCGGCCUAUCAGCUAGUUGGUGGGGUAACGGCCUACCAAGGCAUCGACGGGUAGCUGGUCUGAGAGGACGAUCAGCCGGAUUGGGACUGAGAUACGGCCCAGACUCCUACGGGGGGCAGCAAUUAGGAAUCUUGCACAAUGGGGGAAACCCUGAUGCAGCGACGUCGCGUGGAGGAUGAAAUCUUUCGGGAUGUAAACUCCUUUUAACGGGGAAGAAAAAAAUGACGGUACCCGUUGAAUAAGCCCCGGCUAACUACGUGCCAGCAGCCGCGGUAAUACGUAGGGGGCGAGCGUUGUCCGAAGUUACUGGGCGUAAAGAGCGCGUAGGCUGGUCUUUAAGUGAGUGGUGAAAGGUUCGGGCUCAACCCGGACACUGCCUUUCAUACUGGGG